AUGGCGCCAGCGGUGGCCGGAGGAGGCCGCGUGCGGAGCAAUGAGCCGGCUGCUGCCGCGGCGCCGGCGGCCGCCAGCGGGAAGCCCUGCGUCUGCGGCUUCCAGGUGUGCGCCUGCACGGGAUCGGCCGCGGUGGCGUCCGCCGCCUCCUCGCUGGACAUGGACAUCGUGGCCAUGGGCCAGAUCGGCGCCGUCAACGACGAGAGCUGGGUGGGCGUGGAGCUCGGCGAAGACGGCGAGACCGACGAAAGCGGUGUCGCCGUUGACGACCGCCCCGUCUUCCGCACCGAGAAAAUCAAGGGUGUCCUUCUCCACCCCUACCGGGUGCUGAUCUUCGUUCGGCUGAUCGCCUUCACCCUGUUCGUGAUCUGGCGUAUCUCCCACAAGAACCCUGACGCCAUGUGGCUGUGGGUGACAUCCAUCUGCGGCGAGUUCUGGUUCGGCUUCUCCUGGCUGCUGGAUCAGCUGCCCAAGCUGAACCCCAUCAACCGCGUGCCGGACCUGGCCGUGCUGCGGCAGCGCUUCGACCGCCCCGACGGCACCUCCACCCUCCCGGGGCUCGACAUCUUCGUCACCACGGCCGACCCCAUCAAGGAGCCCAUCCUCUCCACCGCCAACUCCGUGCUCUCCAUCCUCGCCGCCGACUACCCCGUCGACCGCAACACAUGCUACGUCUCUGACGACAGUGGCAUGCUGCUCACCUACGAGGCCCUGGCCGAGUCCUCCAAGUUCGCCACCCUCUGGGUGCCCUUCUGCCGCAAGCACGGGAUCGAGCCCAGGGGCCCGGAGAGCUACUUCGAGCUCAAGUCCCACCCCUACAUGGGGAGAGCCCAGGACGAAUUCGUCAACGACCGCCGCCGCGUCCGCAAGGAGUACGACGAGUUCAAGGCCAGAAUCAACAGCCUGGAGCACGACAUCAAGCAGCGCAACGACGGGUACAACGCCGCCAACGCCCACCGGGAAGGCGAGCCCCGACCCACCUGGAUGGCCGACGGCACCCAGUGGCAGGGCACCUGGGUGGACGCCUCCGAGAACCACCGCAGGGGCGACCACGCCGGCAUCGUCCUGGUGCUGCUGAACCACCCGAGCCACCGCCGGCAGACGGGCCCGCCGGCGAGCGCUGACAACCCACUGGACUUCAGCGGCGUGGAUGUGCGUCUCCCCAUGCUGGUGUACGUGUCCCGUGAGAAGCGCCCCGGACACGACCACCAGAAGAAGGCCGGCGCCAUGAACGCGCUCACCCGCGCCUCCGCGCUGCUCUCCAACUCCCCCUUCAUCCUCAACCUCGACUGCGACCAUUACAUCAACAACUCCCAGGCCCUCCGCGCCGGCAUCUGCUUCAUGGUGGGACGCGACAGCGACACCGUCGCCUUCGUCCAGUUCCCGCAGCGCUUCGAGGGCGUCGACCCCACCGACCUCUACGCCAACCACAACCGCAUCUUCUUCGACGGCACCCUCCGUGCCCUCGACGGCAUGCAGGGCCCCAUCUACGUCGGCACCGGCUGUCUCUUCCGCCGCAUCACCGUCUACGGCUUCGACCCGCCCAGGAUCAACGUCGGCGGGCCCUGCUUCCCCAGGCUCGCCGGGCUCUUCGCCAAGACCAAGUACGAGAAGCCCGGCCUCGAGAUGACCAUGGCCAAGGCCAAGGCCGCGCCGGUGCCCGCCAAGGGCAAGCACGGCUUCCUGCCUCUGCCCAAGAAGACGUACGGCAAGUCGGACGCCUUCGUGGACAGCAUCCCGCGCGCGUCGCACCCGUCGCCUUACGCCGCGGCGGCUGAGGGCAUCGUGGCCGACGAGGCGACCAUCGUGGAGGCGGUGAACGUGACGGCCGCGGCGUUCGAGAAGAAGACCGGCUGGGGCAAAGAGAUCGGCUGGGUGUACGACACCGUGACGGAGGACGUGGUGACCGGGUACCGGAUGCAUAUCAAGGGGUGGCGGUCACGCUACUGCUCCAUCUACCCACACGCCUUCAUCGGCACCGCACCCAUCAACCUCACGGAGAGGCUCUUCCAGGUGCUCCGCUGGUCCACGGGCUCCCUCGAGAUCUUCUUCUCCAAGAACAACCCGCUCUUCGGCAGCACCUACCUCCACCCGCUGCAGCGCGUCGCCUACAUCAACAUCACCACCUACCCCUUCACCGCCAUCUUCCUCAUCUUCUACACCACCGUGCCGGCGCUCUCCUUCGUCACCGGCCACUUCAUCGUGCAACGCCCCACCACCAUGUUCUACGUCUACCUGGGCAUCGUGCUCUCCACGCUGCUCGUCAUCGCCGUGCUGGAGGUCAAGUGGGCCGGGGUCACCGUCUUCGAGUGGUUCAGGAACGGCCAGUUCUGGAUGACGGCAAGUUGCUCCGCCUACCUCGCCGCCGUGUGCCAGGUGCUGACCAAGGUGAUAUUCCGGCGUGACAUCUCCUUCAAGCUCACAUCCAAGCUACCGUCCGGAGACGAGAAGAAGGACCCCUACGCCGACCUGUACGUGGUGCGCUGGACGCCGCUCAUGAUCACACCCAUCAUCAUCAUUUUCGUCAACAUCAUUGGGUCGGCGGUGGCCUUCGCCAAGGUGCUCGACGGCGAGUGGACGCACUGGCUCAAGGUCGCCGGCGGGGUCUUCUUCAACUUCUGGGUGCUGUUCCACCUCUACCCGUUCGCCAAGGGGAUCCUGGGGAAGCACGGCAAGACGCCAGUCGUGGUGCUCGUCUGGUGGGCAUUCACCUUCGUCAUCACCGCCGUGCUCUACAUCAACAUCCCCCACAUGCAUAGCUCGGGAGGCAAGCACACAACGGUGCAUGGUCACCAUGGCAAGAAGUUCGUCGACGCAGGGUACUACAACUGGCCAUGA
rnacentral:rRNA from 1 species